CCUACGGGCGGCAGCAGUGAGGAAUAUUGGUCAAUGGACGAGAGUCUGAACCAGCCAAGUAGCGUGAAGGAUGACUGCCCUAUGGGUUGUAAACUUCUUUUAUAUGGGAAUAAAAUGUUCCACGUGUGGGAUUUUGUAUGUACCAUAUGAAUAAGGAUCGGCUAACUCCGUGCCAGCAGCCGCGGUAAUACGGAGGAUCCGAGCGUUAUCCGGAUUUAUUGGGUUUAAAGGGAGCGUAGGUGGAUUGUUAAGUCAGUUGUGAAAGUUUGCGGCGCAACCGUAAAAUUGAAGUUGAAACUGGCAGUCUUGAGUACAGUAGAGGUGGGCGGAAUUCGUGGUGUAGCGGUGAAAUGCUUAGAUAUCACGAAGAACUCCGAUUGCGAAGGCAGUUCACUGGACUGCAACUGACACUGAGGCUCGAAAGUGUGGGUAUCAAACAGGAUUAGAUACCCUUGUAGUC
rnacentral:rRNA from 1 species